GAUGAACGCUGGCGGCGUGCCUAAUACAUGCAAGUCGAGCGAACAGAUGAGGAGCUUGCUCCUCUGACGUUAGCGGCGGACGGGUGAGUAACACGUGGAUAACCUACCUAUAAGACUGGGAUAACUUCGGGAAACCGGAGCUAAUACCGGAUAAUAUAUUGAACCGCAUGGUUCAAUAGUGAAAGACGAUUUUGCUGUCACUUAUAGAUGGAUCCGCGCCGCAUUAGCUAGUUGGUAAGGUAACGGCUUACCAAGGCAACGAUGCGUAGCCGACCUGAGAGGGUGAUCGGCCACACUGGAACUGGGACACGGUCCAGACUCCUACGGGAGGCAGCAGUAGGGAAUCUUCCGCAAUGGGCGAAAGCCUGACGGAGCAACGCCGCGUGAGUGAUGAAGGUCUUCGGAUCGUAAAACUCUGUUAUUAGGGAAGAACAAAUGUGUAAGUAACUAUGCACGUCUUGACGGUACCUAAUCAGAAAGCCACGGCUAACUACGUG
rnacentral:rRNA from 1 species